UGGAGAUGCUGGAGGUUCCGUGGUGGAAAAACUCUUGGACGUGGUGUGAAGGGUGCUGGAAGGUGGGAGCAGUGGUGCCCGGACCAUACACCAGAGCAUGGCUCCUGCUAACACUUUGUGGAAAUCUGCAGUCGUACAGCCUCUUCACUGAUGGCAGCAAAUACAUGCGCUGGGAGGUCAGCCUAGGUAACCUCAACAGUCCCCGCGUUGCCCUCAGGAGUCUCCAGACCUUCAAAUCUUUCCCUCAUGUUCUUCCACCAAAGGAAAAAUAGGCAGUGUAAUUAUUUUCAGAAGAGACCCGGGUGACUCCGACCGGCUUCAAGUGUGGAGGGAGCAAAAUACCAUUCCAAGCUGUUUUGAGACACCUUCCCAAGAAGAGCAAAAGACCCAGUAGCCACCCAGUCCACCUUUAUUAGAUUUUCAUACGUGCAGGGUGUAUUUUUCCGUGUAGUGCGGUGGGUUUUUCCUCCCCGUGAGCAGACAAUGAACUAGGCAGGAGAACAGUGAUAUUUUGAGAAACUCAAGCUAUGAAGAAAUAGUCCUCAUACCCCAAUAAUCCCAAGGACGGCGCGAUGACCAUGUUCGUUUUUACAGAGCUCACCCACCUCACCCCCCAUACCCCCCUUUCCCUAGAGAAACACCCCCCCAAAAAUAGAAGAAAAGAGCAACUAGGGACAGAAGCUCCUUAAUUAACAGCUCAUAGUCGAGGUGAUAAUUUUAAUCCUCUAAUCAAUAACAUUUCUAUUUUUAAAAGGCUACGCAUGCAAUAAAGGCGGCCGCGCAAAUUAAAGCGGAAAAGAGUAAAAUAAGCAAUGAAGUUGUCAGAUGUGGGCGCUUCGGGCUGGGAUUUGGGAUGAGAUGCUGCGCUUUUCCAGUCGUUAUCCCUGGAUGCAGCGAGCAAAGGUGCAGCGGGUCUUUCCGAAUAUUUAGGUUGGGAAAUGUUCAUUUUCAGUGGCUGGGAAAGGACGAACCCACCACCCCCUCUUAGAUUUCAUGAAAUAAGAUGUAUACAAUUGCCUGCUUCUUUUAUUAUUAUUAUUUUUAAGGAAAAUAUCUUGACAUUUAGUGUCUGGGCGAAGUGCUGCUCUUUGUCUUUAGUGUUUUGGCCGGGUGUAGAUGUGGGGCUGGGUGAUGUGGGGGGUGAUGUGUCUUGCGGGUGCAUGGAGCUGGAUCGGUGUGUAUUGUACUUUAAGGUGUUUCAUUGCCCCCCCCCGAUUUAUUCCCCCCCCCCCCGCUCCCUUUGCCCUGACCUUCACUGAAAAAUGUCAUUCCCUCCUUCCCCACCCCAAAAUGAGAUUUGGAGACGUGACGUGCGGAAAUAAAGAGAAAGAGGAAAAAAAAAGCGAACGCAACCACUUCAAAAUAGGCGAUUUCUCUGUGCGUUUUUGUGCAUUUACGCACUCCCCGCGGAAAAACAAAACCAAAAAAGAAGGAAGAAAAUGUACUUUAAAAAUAGCGAUUUAUGGGGGUUUUCAGCAUGGGGUGAAGGGGGGUGAAGCCAGGCACCUCC